AUUGAACGCUGUCGGCAGGCCUAACACAUGCAAGUCGAGCGAGCGGCGGACGGGUGAGUAAUGUAUGGGGACUGCCCGAUAGAGGGGGAUAACUACUGGAAACGGUAGCUAAUACCGCAUACUAUCGGCUACCCCAUAUGGGAUUAGCUAGUAGGUUAGUUAAUGUCUCACCUAGGCGACGAUGCCUAGCUGGUCUGAGAGGAUGAUCAGCCACACUGUGACUGAGACACGGCCCAGACGCCUACGGAGGCAGCAGUGGGGAAUAUUGCACAAUGGGCGCAAGCCUGAUGCAGCCAUGCCGCGUGGAUGAAGAAGGUCCUAGGAUUGUAAAGUUCUGUCAGUAGGGAGGCGUUACCUACAGAAGAAGCACCGGCUAACUCCGUGCCAGCAGCCGCGGUAAUUC
rnacentral:rRNA from 1 species